rnacentral:rRNA from 1 species
AUGGAUCUGAAACAGAACAUGGCACAGCUCAAAGCAGAGGAGAGGAGGGCAGAGGUAGGGGUGGGGCCUGAGAAGAAGUCACCGGGGAAGGAGGGAGGCUCCAUGGGGCCUCUGCGUCGUGGGGAGAAGGAGCUCCAUCUCCAUGGCAGCGGCCUGCCCCACGGAUGUGCGCCACUCCUGUCGUCGUCACUGUCUGCGCCAUGGCGACCUGCAGAAAAAAGAAGACAAGAUGAGGUGAGGAGGAGAGGGUGGGCAAAGAAGGAGGGGAGAGACCAACCUGUGCCGGAUCCGGCCACCUCUCACCUCGCUGUUGCUGGUUGCGGCGGAUCCCGGCGAUUUUUGGGCGCAGCAGAGAGGGAGAGGAGGGGGAUUUUCUCCGAGCGGUGCGAGAUAGACGGAUGGGUCCACUAG